GACGAACGCUGGCGGCGUGCCUAAUACAUGCAAGUUGAGCGAUGAAGAUUGGUGCUUGCACCAAUUUGAAGAGCAGCGAACGGGUGAGUAACGCGUGGGGAAUCUGCCUUUGAGCGGGGGACAACAUUUGGAAACGAAUGCUAAUACCGCAUAACAACUUUAAACAUAAGUUUUAAGUUUGAAAGAUGCAAUUGCAUCACUCAAAGAUGAUCCCGCGUUGUAUUAGCUAGUUGGUGAGGUAAAGGCUCACCAAGGCGAUGAUUCAUAGCCGACCUGAGAGGGUGAUCGGCCACAUUGGGACUGAGACACGGCCCAAACUCCUACGGGAGGCAGCAGUAGGGAAUCUUCGGCAAUGGACGAAAGUCUGACCGAGCAACGCCGCGUGAGUGAAGAAGGUUUUCGGAUCGUAAAACUCUGUUGGUAGAGAAGAACGUUGGUGAGAGUGGAAAGCUCAUCAAGUGACGGUAACUACCCAGAAAGGGACGGCUAACUACGUG
rnacentral:rRNA from 1 species